CGGCGGACGGGUGAGUAAUGUCUGGGAAACUGCCCGAUGGAGGGGGAUAACUACUGGAAACGGUAGCUAAUACCGCAUAACGUCGCAAGACCAAAGCGGGGGACCUCCGGGCCUCGCGCCAUCAGAUGAACCCAUAUGGGAUUAGCUAGUAGGUAAGGUAACGGCUUACCUAGGCGACGAUCCCUAGCUGGUCUGAGAGGAUGAUCAGCCACACUGGGACUGAGACACGGCCCAG
rnacentral:rRNA from 1 species